AUUGAACGCUGGCGGCAUGCCUUACACAUGCAAGUCGAACGGUAACGGGCCUUCGGGUGCCGACGAGUGGCGAACGGGUGAGUAAUACAUCGGAACGUGCCCGAUCGUGGGGGAUAACGAGGCGAAAGCUUUGCUAAUACCGCAUACGAUCUACGGAGGAAAGCAGGGGACCGCAAGGCCUUGCGCGGACGGAGCGGCCGAUGGCAGAUUAGGUAGUUGGUGGGAUAAAAGCUUACCAAGCCGACGAUCUGUAGCUGGUCUGAGAGGAUGAUCAGCCACACUGGGACUGAGACACGGCCCAGACUCCUACGGGAGGCAGCAGUGGGGAAUUUUGGACAAUGGGCGCAAGCCUGAUCCAGCCAUGCCGCGUGCAGGAUGAAGGCCUUCGGGUUGUAAACUGCUUUUGUACGGAACGAAAAGCCUUCUUUUAAUACAGGAGGGUCAUGACGGUACCGUAAGAAUAAGCACCGGCUAACUACGUG
rnacentral:rRNA from 1 species